rnacentral:rRNA from 1 species
UACAUGGGGUGCAAACGUUGCUCGAAAUUAUUGGGCGUAAAGCGCACGUAGGCGGUUCGUUAAGUCGGAUGUGAAAGCCCUCGGCUCAACUGAGGAAGUGCACCCGAAACUGGCGAGCUUGAGUACGAAAGAGGAUCGCGGAAUUCCCGGUGUAGAGGUGAAAUUCGUAGAUAUCAGGAGGAACACCGGUGGCGAAGGCGGGUCUCUGGGCCGUAACUGACGCUGAGGAGCGAAAGCGUGGGGGAGCGAACAGG